rnacentral:rRNA from 1 species
GCAGUCGAACGCGAAAGCCCCUUCGGGGGUAAGUAGAGUGGCGUCCGGGUGAGUAACACGUGGGUAAUCUGCCUCCGGGUGGGGAAUAACCAGUCGAAAGAUUGGCUAAUACCGCAUAAUGCAGCGGCACCUAAUGGUGAAUAGUUGUUAAAGAGGGGGACCCUUCGGGGCCUCGCGCCUGGAGAGGAGCCUGCGGCGGAUUAGCUAGUUGGUGAGGUAAUGGCUCACCAAGGCUUCGAUCUGUAGCUGGUCUGAGAGGACGGCCAGCCACACUGGCACUGACACACGGGCCAGACUCCUACGGGAGGCAGCAGUGGGGAAUUUUGGGCAAUGGGCGAAAGCCUGACCCAGCAACGCCGCGUGAGGGAGGAAAUCCUUCGGGAUGUAAACUUCGCAAGAAUGGGAAGAAUGAACGAGCGCUAAUACCGUUCGUGAUGACGGUACCAUUUGUAAGCUCCGGCUAACUCCGUGCCAGCAGCCGCGGUAAUACGGGGGGAGCAAGCGUUGUUCGGAUUUACUGGGCGUAAAGGGCGCGUAGGCGGCCACUGCAAGUCAGUUGUGAAAUCUCCGGGCUUAACUCGGAAAGGUCAACUGAUACUGCAGGGCUAGAGUGCGGAAGGGGCAACUGGAAUUCUCGGUGUAGCGGUGAAAUGCGUAGAUAUCGAGAGGAACACCUGCGGCGAAGGCGGGUUGCUGGGCCGACACUGACGCUGAGGCGCGAAAGCCAUGGGAGCGAACGGGAUUAGAUACCCCGGUAGUCCUGGCCUUAAACGAUGGAUGCUUGGUGUCUGGGGUUUUAUAGUCCCCGGG